rnacentral:lncRNA from 1 species
CAUCCACCACCGCUUGUUUCUAUUUCGCCAGGUAACUCGAGCGGAUGUAGGUCGGAGAAAGCAGUACAGCAAGACAGUGCAGAAUGAAGUGGAUGACGAUUGGAGCUAUUUUCACCUCGGGGCUGAUAAUCUCAUGCUGGACUCACUUUUCUCUAAACAUUGUCCAGCCCAUCCAGGAAUCUGCUGAGGUUUCCACAGGACUCCCUCUGACAAUCGAGUGUGACUUCAGUGGGACGAGGAAAGGGCUUCUCGUACCUGUUCAGAUCACGUGGCAAAGGAGCGCCACCUUGAACCUGACCCCCGUGUCCAUAGUCAGUGACCGCACCAAGUACAUAAUCGAAAAUUCUACAUCAGAAAACAGUUUGAGAUCCCGACUGACCGUUGUCAACAUGACGUUUAGCGAUGAGGGCGUCUACUACUGCAGAAGUCACGUGCACGGAAGUAACUUCUCGGACUUAGUGCAGAUAACUGCGAGAGGUGUACCCGAGAUAGUGACAUCACCUCUGACCUUCACCCUGUCGUUGGGCGUGCGGUGUCCUUCACCUGCCUCGUUCUGGGAAAGCCACGCCCUUCGGUCGUCUGGUUGGGAUCUAAUGAUACUAACUUAACUGUUGCGUUGGAUCAAAUCAAACCCUGGUACACAAUUUCCACUACAAGUGUGUCAGACAAAAUGAUGGUCAGCCAGCUCACCUUGUCCAGUGUGAUGUCCGAGACACAAGGGAACUACACGUGUGUUGCAGAGAGUGAAGCCGGUAAAACCACCCGAUCGAGCGAACUGCUUCUAAAAGCUUUUGUUACGUUCGAUGCUCCUUCAGAGGAUGAUUCAAGCAACGAUACUGAGAAAGAAUUUGGCGAUACAAAAGACACCCUUACACCCUCAACAGUGUUUACAGUCCUCGAUGAGGUCACACUGAGUUGCUUCGCCUACAAUGUACCCGACGGCUCUUCAGUGUGUCUACAGUGGAGUGGGCACAAGAUCUGCUCGAGGAGCGAAUUCUGCGAGGUGGCACGAGGUACAACAUCUCCACCAACACCUUCAGGACCAUCGACCCGUCAUUGUCCAGUGUUAACUCCACGUUGACGUUUCGCGCAUUGGCUAGUGACGAGGGCUUUUAUGUGUGUCGAGUUGUCGACAAGCAGGGUACUGUUCUUUCGGAUGCAGUUAACUGAGUUGGCUGUUGAAGAAGCUGAUGACUUAAACAGCACAGAAGACGUGGACACCCCGACACCCACGUCCAUAGAGAGAACUCCGACAGCGACCACUUCCGGUGCCACGACUCACAGUGACGUCAGCAGGGCUGUAGACGCCGCCGUGUCCGGAGGAAUAGGAGCUGGCACUGCCGUUCUCGUUGUUCUUGGUCGUCGCCUCGAUCGUCGUCUUUGUUCGACGAGUAAGGAAGAAGCCUCAAAGGAAUAGUCAAGCGCAGAACAAGAGAGAGUCGCCGCCACAUAAAAUCACGUGUGAAGUCAUGCAGUCCAACGAUGUUUACUUCGACUGGACUUGAGACGAUAAAGGUAGAGACCACCUCAUCACAGAGCUGCGUUCUUCCUUCUCCUCGAAAGAAAGACCCUCGUGAAUUCCCGCGAGACCGCGUGCAGCUGAAGGAGAUUCUGGCUCACAGCAAGCUCGUCAUCUUGCACAAAGCCCUGGCACUCAACAUCCUCAACUCCGGCAAGUGGGACCGCGUGGCCGUCAAGAUGCUGAAGGAAACUGCGACUGAUGCAGAAAAAAGUGAUUUCAUGAGAGAAAUUUCACUGUUACGCAACAUGGAGCCACAUCCUAAUGUUGUCCGCUUGUUGGGAAGUUGCACCGAGACAGG